GAUGAACGCUGGCGGCGUGCCUAAUACAUGCAAGUCGAGCGAACGGACGAGAAGCUUGCUUCUCUGAUGUUAGCGGCGGACGGGUGAGUAACACGUGGAUAACCUACCUAUAAGACUGGGAUAACUUCGGGAAACCGGAGCUAAUACCGGAUAAUAUUUUGAACCGCAUGGUUCAAAAGUGAAAGACGGUCUUGCUGUCACUUCUAGAUGGAUCCGCGCUGCAUUAGCUAGUUGGUAAGGUAACGGCUUACCAAGGCAACGAUGCCUAGCCGACCUGAGAGGGUGAUCGGCCACACUGGAGCGGAGACACGGUCCAGACUCCUACGGGAGGCAGCAGUAGGGAAUCUUCCGCAAUGGGCGAAAGCCUGACGGAGCAACGCCGCGUGAGUGAUGAAGGUCUUCGGAUCGUAAAACUCUGUUAUUAGGGAAGAACAGAUGUGUAAGUAACUGUGCACAUCGUGACGGUACCUAAUCAGAAAGCCACGGCUAACUACGUG
rnacentral:rRNA from 1 species